UGCCCAACCAUAUCGAUUUUGGACAAGUCCGACGACACAUAAUUCCAGCUUUCUGAUUCUGCUGCCCUUUUGCCCUGGGGUACAGUCUGACUCUGCCUCUUGCCGGCGCCAGUGCGCCUCUGCUGGUGACGUCAGGCGCAGCCAGCUGCUGGUUGGGGGCUCACGGUGGAGCCUGAGAUCCGGCUCCUGUUUGCACCCCGGCCUCCCUCUCUCUCUGCUCGGAGCCGGACUGGGAAGCUGCUGGCAACCUUCACCAACAGAAAUGUUCGCCUGCGUGCGCUUUCUGCAGGACCAAGUGCAUCAUAUCGUGCCGGUGUCCCACAUUAAAAAUUUCCACCCCACCUCCAAGUGCGACUUCAACAAGAAACAAGUUUAUCGAUUGAUGCUGCCGGCACUGGGACUGGGACUGGGACCGGCUCCGGGAUCAGGGCCCGGGGCGGGAGAGCCGGAAAUAGGCGCCGUUACCAGGGGGGGCCACUGCCGGAAGGCCCAGAUUCUUGCUCUGGGAGAUAGCAGACAAGAACUGGAGAAGUUUUUGAAACUGAAAAAAUGCAAAGUGCCAAAAACAAUUGAAGGUUUCAUUGAAGUGUCUGAAUCAGAAGAUGGUGACAGCACUGAGGAGGAACCACAUCAGUUCAACAAUAUCCAGGAACAAGAUGUCUCCUGCUUUGAAGAUAGCAGUGAUGAUGACGACCAAACACUAAAAAUCUUUGAUGAACUAAAGCAUAAAUAUUCUCAGGCCAAGGCCAAUAAUAAAAAGUUGAUUCAGGAACUUAAAAAAGUUACAACAAAACUCCGAUUUGCUGAAGAAAAGCAAAAGGAAUAUGAACACUUGGCAUCUGAACUACAGAGACUGAGGGACCUAAAUAUGGACCUUCAGAAUGCACUGCUUUUGAAGUUAUUUAGAUUACCAGAACAAUACCAUGGCUCAAAUCCUGAGGAAGAGCUAAUUGACAACACAUCAGCACAUCAACUGAUUUCAAGUACUCCAGUAACUUCCAUUCUGCAAGACCAUUUGAACAUGCAACAAAGAGUUUAUCCUGGCAAGAAAAGCCCACAUGCUCUUCUUCCAACUCCAAGUACUUCUGAUCAUCUAGAGAGUCAGAUUGAAAACGGGAACAACAUGGUACCAUGUCCGUGGGCUUCAACCCAAGCUAUUGCUAUGGCUCAGCCUAAUGUUUACUCUGUUCAGGAUGGAAAGGUUCACAUUGGUGCUAAUAUAUGGAUUGAUGAGGACAAGUGGGAAACUGUGAAACGUCAACCAAGUGAUUCAAGAUUUACUAAGUGCUUGGCUGUGGCUGUCUGGGGAGUGGAUACCUUGAAGGACAGAAGUGUCACUGGAAUUGCAUGCAACUCUACAAAGUCGUCGCCUAAACCACCUCUUUCCCCUUAUAAAGUACAAAUUAUUAAAGAACAAUUACUGAACAGAAUACGACAAGAUGCCAAAGAUGACAAUGAGAUCCACAAGCGACUAAAUAAAGUCAAUCGAUAUAUUGGGGAAAAAAUAAUGGACAUUAAUAAGCAGUGGCGAAAAGCCAAAGCAGAAAUAUCAAAAUUUAGGAACUGUGAAUGUGAGAUGGGAUUAAAAUGUGAAACUCAUGCACAUUGUGAGAGAUCCGAAGUACCUAUCAAGGAAGAGAUUGAAACUUUUAUCUAUGAAUAAUCUAGUGAGAACUAAUGUCUUGCAUGAUCAGAAAGUUCUGUUCAUGGCUAUUCUGAUUAUUAAUAGUAUAUAACUAAUAUUUGAUUACAGUGAAAUCUACUUGUUCUCUUAUCAUUUGUUUACAUAGAAUGGUACCAUAGAAAGCUUUUUCCUAUUAAUUUCUGUAUAGCUUUCAAGUUUUAUAUAUCAAUGUUAAAUCAGUGGAAUGUUCAGAUAAUUCAGCAAAUUGUUGUGGAAUUCUACAGAAGGAAGCCAUUUAGCCUGUUGCAACUAUGCCAUUCUCAGCUGUCUACUUAAUCCCCAUUUCCUGCCCUUCUCCUAUAUCGUUUCUUUUUAAUUCAAAUAUUUAUCCACUUCCCUGUUAAAGCCUAUAAUAGAUCCUGUUUCCACGACCUAACAAUGCUGAGUUUAAUAAUAAAUAAUUCUUUUUGCCUUUUGUUAUUUUGGUAACGAUAAAUUUAAGCUCUUUAUUUACUGAGUCAUCAAUUAAUUGGACAUAGUUUUUCCCUAUCUACCGUAUCAAAACUCUUUUAUUUUGAAUAUUGCAUAAGAUCUUCUCAUGAUAUUGCUUGUAAUCUUAUAAAAGAUUGUGUCAGUAUCUGUGAUCUGUCCUCAUAACCAAAUUAUCUCAUCUCUGGAAUGAUCUUAGUGAAUCUCUUCUGUACUCUGACUGUGUCCUUGAUGUCCCUCUCUCACUUUAUCGUUAUUCAUUCGUUGGAUGUGGCGAUCACUGUCCGAGCUGGCAUUUAUCACCAAUCCCUAGUUGUCCUUGAAGAAGAUGAUGUUGAGCAUUUUUGUACUGCUGCAACUCGUCUAGUGAAGGUACUGCCAAAAUGCUAUUAGGUGGGGAGUUCCAGUAUUUUGACCCAGUGAGAAUAUAGGAAUGACAAUAUAUUUCCCAAGUAAGGAUUAUGUGUGACUUGGAAGGAAACUUUGAGGUGAUGGUGUUCCCGUACGUCCAACUAGAUGGUAGAGGUUGUAGGACUGCUAUGGGAAGGUGCUGUGGUGAAUUUGUAGAUAGUAAACAUUGCAGCCCCAGAGAGGAUGUUUAAGCUGGUGGCUGGCAUGCUGAUCAAGUUACUGCUUUAUCCUGGAUUGUGUUCUCCGGAUUCCCAUUCACUUCAGUUUUACUAGUGCUUCUUGGCAUGUAUGUGAUCAAAUGCUGCCUUGAUAUCAAAGUCCCUUGGAAGUGAACUUGUCCUCUCACUUUUACAAAUAUUGAUUGGAAUCUCUUAAGUCGUCAGCUUCUCUUUUUUAAGGUUUCAGCAUUUAUUGUAUAUUUCGUAUCCUUAUUUGUCAAUGAUAACUUUCAGCUUGUGUCAUACUAUUGGAACUGAGUAGUUCACUCUUUUGAAAAAAACAUUAAAAGUAAGAUAUACCAGGUUCUGUAAGAACCACUGUAUAAGUUUUAGGUUCAGAAGUCACAGAUUACCCAAAAUACAUGGUUGGGAACUCCCAAGUGAUUUUAAGGCAGUUUAUUAAGAAGUGACAGAUUAUAUAUGAUGCAUAAGCUAAAUAGAUAGGAAAAGCAUACAGCCAUGACAGGUGAGAGCAGUAUGCUGAUCCCAGAGGACAAAUGGAUGGAUGGCGCAGAGUGUGUUGAUCCCUUGUGGCGACAGCCUUCUGCUCUGUAGCCAAAGUGUUACGUCAAUCUUCUCCCGGUCUCCCAUCAUCUCUGGUCUUCCUGCAUCUGAAGAUCAGGCAUAUGCCUGACGAGGACUACCCCCAGCCUUUGCGAACCCAUUAAUAUACUUUAUUUCUAGGGGCUGAUUGCUUACCCUGGGUGGGAGGGGGGAGGGGUCACAUCCCCCUUGUCCAUUACUUUUGUUUACCUCAUACUGAGGACUAUUUCUUAGUCUUUACUAAACACUUGUUUAAAUAGGACAGCAUCUUAGGCCAGCGUUGUGGAUCUCUUUAUCUGUUAAAUAGGUUCCAAGCCAAAUGGUGAAAUGUGAAACUAGGCACAAAUUCUUUGCGUAAUAAUUGGUUUAUCUAUAAAAUGCAGCAUCCUACAUACUAACACCGUAUCCCAGAAGGCUUCCUUUUGUUCAUUUUUGAGCAAACUAAGAACAAUUAACCUAAUGAAUCACCCCUUUAAAGAGGAAGUCUUUCAUUAUAUGUGCUCAAGAUACUUAAUCAGUGCCCUUCACCUUUGUAUCCUUAACCUUGAUAAUACAAUUAACGUACCAUUAAUAGAUUCCCCUCUUUAAAUUAAAACUUUAUAACACAAUGUUCCAAAACAAAUCAAAGAAAAAAAUGAUUUUCAUAUUCUUUAUGUCACAUCAUAAUACAAGACUUUGCUCUUCUAAGACCUCCAAUAGUGUUUCUGUGCAAGCAUUCCUUUUGGUAAAGCAAUCCAACAAUU